AAAAAAUUUAAUUUUGGUUUUUAAUUUAUUAUUUUUUUUAUUUUAUAUGUAAAUUUUUUUAUUUAAUAUUUUGAUUAGCAGUAAUUUAUUUUAUUGAUUAAAGAAAUUUAGAAUUAGUAAUUAAUUUAAAAAUUAAAUUAUUUUGUGCCAGCAUUUGCGGUUAAACAAAAGAUUUAAGUAAAUUUUUUUAAUUUGUAAAUAUAUAUAUAUAUAUAUUUAUAUAAUAAAUAUAAAUUAAAUAUAAAAGGUGAAAUUUUUUAUUUAUAUUAUAUUUAAAUAUAUUUUAUAAUUAUAGUUUUAUGAAAAUAAAAAUUUAAACUAGGAUUAGAUACCCUAUUAUUUUUAUUGUAAAUUUUUAGUUGAAUUAUUAAUAGUUAUGUUCUUUAAAUUUAAAAAAUUUGGCGGUAUUUUUUCUUAUUAGAGGAACCUGUUUUAUAAAUGAUAAUCCACGAUAUAAUUUACUUAAAUUAAUAGUUAGUAUAUCGUUGUUAUAAAAAUAUAUUUAUAGAUAAUUAAAUUUUAAAAUAUUUUAUAAUAUCUUAUUUCAAAUCAAGAUGCUGCUUUAUAUUUAUGUAUUAAUGGGUUACAAUUAUUAUAUAAUAAAACGGAUUUUUUUUUGUAAUAAAAGAAAAUAAAGGUGGAUUUAUUUGUAAUUUUAAAUAAAUUUUUAAAUUGAUUAAAGUUUUGAAAUAUGUACAUAUCGCCCGUCGCUCUCAUUUUUAAAUGAGAUAAGUCGUAACAUAGUAGAUUUACUGGAAAGUGAAUCUAGAAUAU
rnacentral:ncRNA from 1 species